rnacentral:rRNA from 1 species
GAUGAACGCUGGCGGCGUGCCUAAUACAUGCAAGUCGAGCGAACGGACGAGAAGCUUGCUUCUCUGAUGUUAGCGGCGGACGGGUGAGUAACACGUGGAUAACCUACCUAUAAGACUGGGAUAACUUCGGGAAACCGGAGCUAAUACCGGAUAAUAUUUUGAACCGCAUGGUUCAAAAGUGAAAGACGGUCUUGCUGUCACUUAUAGAUGGAUCCGCGCUGCAUUAGCUAGUUGGUAAGGUAACGGCUUACCAAGGCAACGAUGCAUAGCCGACCUGAGAGGGUGAUGGGCCACACUGGAACUGAGACACGGUCCAGACUCCUACGGGAGGCAGCAGUAGGGAAUCUUCAGCAAUGGGCGAAAGCCUGACGGAGCAACGCCGCGUGAGUGAUGAAGGUCUUCGGAUCGUAAAACUCUGUUAUUAGGGAAGAACAUAUGUGUAAGUAACUGUGCACAUCUUGGCGGUACCUAAUCAGAAAGCCACGGCUAACUACGUG